rnacentral:rRNA from 1 species
GACGUAGGGGCGCGAGCGUUUGUCCGGAUUUAUUGGGCGUAAAGAGCUCGUAGGCGGUUUGUCGCGUCUGCUGUGAAAACUCGGGGCUCAACCCCGAGCCUGCAGUGGGGUACGGGCAGACUAGAGUGCGGUAGGGGGAGACUGGAAUUCCUGGUGUAGCGGUGAAAUGCGCAGAUAUCAGGAGGGAACACCGGUGGCGA